GACGAACGCUGGCGGCGUGCUUAACACAUGCAAGUCGAACGGAAAGGCCCUGCUUUUGUGGGGUGCUCGAGUGGCGAACGGGUGAGUAACACGUGAGUAACCUGCCCUUGACUUUGGGAUAACUUCAGGAAACUGGGGCUAAUACCGGAUAGGAGCUCCUGCUGCAUGGUGGGGGUUGGAAAGUUUCGGCGGUUGGGGAUGGACGCGCGGCUUAUCAGCUUGUUGGUGGGGUAGUGGCUUACCAAGGCUUUGACGGGUAGCCGGCCUGAGAGGGUGACCGGCCACAUGGGGACUGAGAUACGGCCCAGACGCCUACGGGAGGCAGCAGUGGGGAAUAUUGCACAAUGGGCGGAAGCCUGAUGAAGCAACGCCGCGUGCGGGAUGACGGCCUUCGGGUUGUAAACCGCUUUCGCCUGUGACGAAGCGUGAGUGACGGUAAUGGGUAAAGAAGCACCGGCUAACUACGUG
rnacentral:rRNA from 1 species